UACGUAGGGGGCAAGCGUUGUCCGGAUUUAUUGGGCGUAAAGAGCGUGUAGGCGGCCAGAUAGGUCAGCUGUGAAAACCUCGAGGCUCAACCUCGAGACGUCGGUUGAAACCAUCUGGCUAGAGUCCGGAAGAGGAGAGUGGAAUUCCCGGUGUAGCGGUGAAAUGCGCAGAUAUCGGGAAGAACACCCGUGGCGAAGGCGGCUCUCUGGGACGGUACUGACGCUGAGACGCGAAAGCGUUGGGGAGCGAACAGG
rnacentral:rRNA from 1 species